rnacentral:rRNA from 2 species
UUGGCUAUCACUCUGGGAUGGACCUGCGGUGCAUUAGCUAGUUGGUGGGGUAACGGCUUACCAAGGCGAUGAUGCAUAGCCGAGUUGAGAGACUGAUCGGCCACAAUGGAACUGAGACACGGUCCAUACUCCUACGGGAGGCAGCAGUAGGGAAUCUUCCACAAUGGGCGCAAGCCUGAUGGAGCAACACCGCGUGAGUGAAGAAGGGUUUCGGCUCGUAAAGCUCUGUUGUUGGAGAAGAACGUGCGUGAGAGUAACUGUUCACGCAUUGACGGUAUCCAACCAGAAAGUCACGGCUAACUACGUGCCAGCAGCCGCGGUAAUACGUAGGUGGCAAGCGUUAUCCGGAUUUAUUGGGCGUAAAGCGAGCGCAGGCGGUUGCUUAAGUCUGAUGUGAAAGCCUUCGGCUUAACCGAAGAAGUGCAUCGGAAACCGGACGACUUGAGUGCAGAAGAGGACAGUGGAACUCCAUGUGUAGCGGUGGAAUGCGUAGAUAUAUGGAAGAACACCAGUGGCGAAGGCGGCUGUCUGGUCUGCAACUGACGCUGAGGCUCGAAAGCAUGGGUAGCGAACAGGAUUAGAUACCCUGGUAGUCCAUGCCGUAAACGAUGAGUGCUAGGUGUUGGAGGGUUUCCGCCCUUCAGUGCCGGAGCUAACGCAUUAAGCACUCCGCCUGGGGAGUACGACCGCAAGGUUGAAACUCAAAGGAAUUGACGGGGGCCCGCACAAGCGGUGGAGCAUGUGGUUUAAUUCGAAGCUACGCGAAGAACCUUACCAGGUCUUGACAUCUUGCGCUAACCUUAGAGAUAAGGCGUUCCCUUCGGGGACGCAAUGACAGGUGGUGCAUGGUCGUCGUCAGCUCGUGUCGUGAGAUGUUGGGUUAAGUCCCGCAACGAGCGCAACCCUUGUUACUAGUUGCCAGCAUUAAGUUGGGCACUCUAGUGAGACUGCCGGUGACAAACCGGAGGAAGGUGGGGACGACGUCAGAUCAUCAUGCCCCUUAUGACCUGGGCUACACACGUGCUACAAUGGACGGUACAACGAGUCGCAAGCUCGCGAGAGUAAGCUAAUCUCUUAAAGCCGUUCUCAGUUCGGACUGCAGGCUGCAACUCGCCUACACGAAGUCGGAAUCGCUAGUAAUCGCGGAUCAGCAUGCCGCGGUGAAUACGUUCCCGGGCCUUGUACACACCGCCCGUCACACCAUGGGAGUUUGUAACGCCCAAAGUCGGU